rnacentral:rRNA from 1 species
GUGCCAGCAGCCGCGGUAAUACGUAGGCAGCGAGCGUUGUUCGGAGUUACUGGGCGUAAAGAGUGCGUAGGCGGUUCCGUAAGUUCGGUGUGAAAUCUCCCGGCUCAACUGGGAGGGUGCGCCGAAUACUGCGGCACUUGAGCGCGGGAGAGGAAAGCGGAAUUCCUGGUGUAGCGGUGAAAUGCGUAGAUAUCAGGAGGAACACCGGUGGUGAAGACGGCUUUCUGGACCGUUGCUGACGCUGAGGCACGAAGGCGUGGGUAGCAAACAGGAUUAGAUACCCUGGUAGUCCACGCCCUAAACGAUGCAUACUUGGUGUGGGCCGUUCAGUCGGCCCGUGCCGGAGCUAACGCGUUAAGUAUGCCGCCUGGGGAGUACGGUCGCAAGGCUGAAACUUAAAUGAAUUGGCGG